AUGAACGCUGGCGGCGUGCCUAAACAUGCAAGUCGAGCGGUAACAGGUGUAGCAAUACAUGCUGACGAGCGGCGAACGGGUGAGUAAUGCUUCGGAAUCUGCCCAAUGGUGGGGAAUAACCAGCCGAAAGGUUGGCUAAUACCGCAUAAGUCCUACGGGGGAAAGCAGGGGAUCGUAAGACCUUGCGCCGAUGGAUGAGCCGAAGUCGGAUUAGCUAGUUGGUAGGGUAACGGCCUACCAAGGCGACGAUCCGUAGCUGGUCUGAGAGGACGACCAGCCACACUGGGACUGAGACACGGCCCAGACUCCUACGGGAGGCAGCAGUGGGGAAUAUUGGACAAUGGGGGAAACCCUGAUCCAGCGACGCCGCGUGUGUGAAGAAGGCCUGCGGGUUGUAAAGCACUUUUAGUGGGGAUGAAAAGCUCAGGGCUAACACCUCUGGGUCUUGACCUAACCCAAAGAAAAAGCACCGGCUAACUCUGUGCCAGCAGCCGCGGUAAUACAGAGGGUGCGAGCGUUAAUCGGAAUUACUGGGCGUAA
rnacentral:rRNA from 1 species